GGACUACACGGGUUUCUAAUCCCGUUUGCUCCCCUGGCUUUCGCGCCUCAGCGUCAGAAAGGGUCCAGCACGUCGCUUUCGCCACCGGCGUUCCUUCCGAUAUCUACGCAUUUCACCGCUCCACCGGAAGUUCCACAUGCCCCUACCCCCCUCAAGACGGCCAGUAUCAAAAGCUGUUUUCCCGUUGAGCGGGAAGAUUUCACCCCUGACUUGGCCACCCGCCUACGCGCCCUUUAAGCCCAGUGAUUCCGAACAACGUUUGCACGGUUCGUCUUACCGCGGCGGCUGGCAC
rnacentral:rRNA from 3 species